rnacentral:rRNA from 1 species
UGUGGCGUUGCCCAGACAACUAGGAUGUUGGCUUAGAAGCAGCCAUCAUUUAAAGAGUGCGUAAUAGCUCACUAGUCGAGUGACACUGCGCCGAAAAUGUACCGGGGCUAAACAUAUUACCGAAGCUGUGGAUUGUCCUUUGGACAAUGGUAGGAGAGCGUUCUAAGGGCGUUGAAGCAUGAUCGUAAGGACAUGUGGAGCGCUUAGAAGUGAGAAUGCCGGUGUGAGUAGCGAAAGACGGGUGAGAAUCCCGUCCACCGAUUGACUAAGGUUUCCAGAGGAAGGCUCGUCCGCUCUGGGUUAGUCGGGUCCUAAGCUGAGGCCGACAGGCGUAGGCGAUGGAUAACAGGUUGAUAUUCCUGUACCACCUAUAAUCGUUUUAAUCGAUGGGGGGACGCAGUAGGAUAGGCGAAGCGUGCGAUUGGAUUGCACGUCUAAGCAGUAAGGCUGAGUAUUAGGCAAAUCCGGUACUCGUUAAGGCUGAGCUGUGAUGGGGAGAAGACAUUGUGUCUUCGAGUCGUUGAUUUCACACUGCCGAGAAA